AAACAGCUCCAAACGCUGUAUUACAUCCCUCCUCCUUUCACCCUACCCCUCGCGAAAUCUUUCUCCGAUCUUGUCUUGGAAAAUAUUUAUAAAUCGUUUAUUGCAAAUAACAGUGGGAACAAGUUAGGUUAGGUUAGAGUGAAAAUAUAAUAUAUACACGGUUUGGAUGGAUGUUUUUUUCGUGGAUGUAAGGAGAGUUAAUUUUGAUGAUUUUUCGUUGAUGGCGUGGAACCAUUUUUCUUCUGGUAGUGGGUUGACUGAUCGAUGGUUGGGUCAGGUUAUUGUUUACGAGGUCGGCUGACUGCUUCCGGCACGAUCAGCUGAUUUCGAGUGGGGGUGGGGUUUCGAGUGAUGUAAGAAGGUUGGUCGGUUUUGAGUAACGAGGUUUGAGUACUGUUGUGGUAAUUAGACUGAUAUUGAGAAAUGGAUGGGAAGAAAGAGAUUUCUUUUUUUAGGAUUAGUAGUAGUAUCAGUCGUGUCAUAUUUUUAUGAUAUAGUAUAAUUGAAAAAUCUUAUGCAAUGGUAUUUUAUAAUAGACGAUGUUUGUUUGGCUGUGAGAUUGUGUAAGAUGUUUAAAAAGAUAAAGUGUGCUUCUCUUGAUUAUUUUUCAAUUUAAACGCGUAUGAGAAAUUAUAAUAAAUAUAAAACAAUUAUUGUAUACGAAAAAUAUUAUAAAUAUUUCAAUUUCAAGGAAAUAAAUGACAGAUUUUGGAAUUAAGAUUAAAUUUAACAUGAAACUGAAUCUAUGUACAUUGUGCAUUUUGUGUUAUUAAGUAGUUAUUCUUAGAUAAUUACUUAAUUAUGAUCUUUAGAUUAAGUAGAGGAAGUGACACCUCGAUGGAUGCUUUAAUUUAUGGAUCGAUGAUACUUAAUGCUCUUUACAUUUGAUCUUUUAUUACCAUGUACAUAUUUAGCAUCAUCUGUAUGACUGUAUAAUCUAAAUACUGAGCAGAUACAAUUAUUACUUGCUUAAAUUAAAAAUUCUACAAUCUACUAUCGAUUGUCAAGCUACAAAUUUUCAUGCUAAUUCAUAUUUAUAUAAAAAAAAACUUUUAAAAAAACUUGAAAGAAGAAUUUAUAUAGACGAGAACGAAAAUUUUAAUUAACUCCACGUCCUCGUAUAUAAAUAAACGUAACCAAUCAACCGUAUUUAUUAUACAAGUAGCAUUUCAUCGAUUCGUUAAUGGAUUGUUAACUAUCGAAGAUUAACGAUCGAAACUUCGUCGUUGGAACGUUCGCAGAUUUUAAGUUCGUGCAACUUAACUCAAGACGUGAUAUUGUGGAUGCCUUCUGGCACUCCUUUAAUUCGACUGCGCGAGACAGAUACGCUUUGUUGGCACACACAGAGGGAGUCAAUGUCGAACGGAUUGAAGGAACAAUAAAGGGGAGAUUAUUCGUCCGUUGACAUUGCUUUAGAACGAUGCAAUUUAACGAAUUCUCGAGAAGAAUUUGAAAUUGUUUAAGAUAUUAUAUUUUGCGAAAAGAUUAUGAUAGAAAAGAUUAUGAAGAUUAUAUUAUGUUAUUUAUGAUUGGGUAUAAAUAAAAUAUUUAUAUCUUUUUAAUUGAAAUAUAAAUGGUAUAUUAAAAACUUACCCUCUUAAACACUGAACAUUAAUUAUUGAUUCUCUUAUACUCUCUAUUCUCUUAUUCUCUUAUAUUUGAAUGUUAUUUCGAGCUCUGAUACUUUGAAAUUUGUUUAUUUUCUAAUGAAAUGUUCUUUUUGAAAAUAUAUAUAUAUUGGUUUUAAAUAUAUGUUUUAUUAAAUAUGUUAAUUUUAUAUA